GCUAUACAUGCAGUCGAGCGGACAGAUGGGAGCUUGCUCCCUGAUGUUAGCGGCGGACGGGUGAGUAACACGUGGGUAACCUGCCUGUAAGACUGGGAUAACUCCGGGAAACCGGGGCUAAUACCGGAUGGUUGUUUGAACCGCAUGGUUCAGACAUAAAAGGUGGCUUCGGCUACCACUUACAGAUGGACCCGCGGCGCAUUAGCUAGUUGGUGAGGUAACGGCUCACCAAGGCGACGAUGCGUAGCCGACCUGAGAGGGUGAUCGGCCACACUGGGACUGAGACACGGCCCAGACUCCUACGGGAGGCAGCAGUAGGGAAUCUUCCGCAAUGGACGAAAGUCUGACGGAGCAACGCCGCGUGAGUGAUGAAGGUUUUCGGAUCGUAAAGCUCUGUUGUUAGGGAAGAACAAGUGCCGUUCAAAUAGGGCGGCACCUUGACGGUACCUAACCAGAAAGCCACGGCUAACUACGUGCCAGCAGCCGCGGUAAUACGUAGGUGGCAAGCGUUGUCCGGAAUUAUUGGGCGUAAAGGGCUCGCAGGCGGUUUCUUAAGUCUGAUGUGAAAGCCCCCGGCUCAACCGGGGAGGGUCAUUGGAAACUGGGGAACUUGAGUGCAGAAGAGGAGAGUGGAAUUCCACGUGUAGCGGUGAAAUGCGUAGAGAUGUGGAGGAACACCAGUGGCGAAGGCGACUCUCUGGUCUGUAACUGACGCUGAGGAGCGAAAGCGUGGGGAGCGCACAUGAUUAGAUUUCCUUGUUUGUCCUCAUCGUUUUUU
rnacentral:rRNA from 1 species